UGAAAUUCUGUCUCGGUCAGCAGAGCUCUAUGGGAUAUGGGCCUGUCGCUGUUCCUGCAGCCUCAGGGACUAGAUCGCAGCUGGACCGACAGGAGCAAGCUGUGAGUUGUUUGCUGCGGCAAGGAGUAACCGCUCAGCCACGCACGGAGGGGAAGGCAGAACUGGGGUUGUGGAUGGCACUUCCUGCCCACAGGUCUGGUGCAAUAUGAGCUGGCAAGUGACGGAAGGGACCACGGUGGCAGACUGGGGGAGAAGCUGAAUAGGAAGGAGAAAGGCUGCGUGGGAGGUACCCGGAGCUGCCUGAGCCUGAAUGCAGCUCCCUAUCUGUAGCACUGAGAUGAUCAGGAGUGCAGAGACCAGAGAUUAAUGGGAGAGCAAGCUGGCAGCAGAUAAAAUCCUGGUACCACCCUGUCACCUCAGCCUAGAGGCAGGGAGCGCGGCCAAGACACUCACCAAA